rnacentral:lncRNA from 1 species
CCGCGUGCCCCGCGGGUCACGGGGCGGCCUCCGCGGAGCUCACCUGUGGCUCCGUUACGAGGCUUUGGGCGGCGGAUGCUCGGCUCGGCCCUGCCGCUCCGCAGAGGCCGCAUGGCCCGUGCCCCGGGGCGCCCCCCCCCCCCCCGGGAGGCUGGUCCUGCGGGUCCCCGAGGGCGCCGGGCUACCCCGGGCUCCGAGCCCCCUUCUCAGCGCGGCCGCCGCGACCCCGGCAGCGACCUCGGGGAGCCGAGGGGCCCGCAGGAGGGCGCGACCUGCAGGUGGGCGCGUGCACGCGUGUGGCGGAGGAGAAAGGUCUGAGAAAUAAAUGCUCAUGUGUUUGAGGACAGCGUGGUGCCUCCCUCGUGGCUGUCUUCUCCCCAACUACUCUUCAGAUCCUCGCCCUCCACCUUGAGCCCAGCUGCCUCCUCCAAGAAACUCACCUGGAUCGUGGUUUCCUCUCAGCGCACGGUACUUUAUCCCUCCUUGGAGCCCCUGAAGCCUCAAUGGCCUGUUCAGCUUGCCUGGCAUCAUCUCAUCCUGCCAUCUUGCCAUAUAAGUGAGAUUUCUUUCCCCCUUCCUAGAUCAUGGUCCUGAGAAGAGUCCGAGAAACCCUUUAAUGCAAAGCCAAGCUGAAACUAAAAAGCAGACGCAUCCAAAGGGAUUUGCCUGGCUAACUUCUCUAACAGACCCACAAUCCGCUAGAGCUUCCUCCGUGAUAUCUAUAUCGUGGGAUACCAUUCAGCUCCAAAAAGGAAGGAAAUUCUGAUGUGUGCUACAACACAAAUGAAACUUGAGGACAUUUUGUUCAGUGAAAUAAGCCAGUUACAAAAAGGACGAACAGUAGAUGAUUCCACUUAUAUGAGGCACCUACAGUCGUCGAACUCAUAGAGACGGAAAAUAGAAUGGCUGUUGCCAGUGAGGAGGGCAUGGGGAGCUAGUGUUCAAUGGAGACAGGGUUUCGGUUUCAUAAGGUAAAAAGGGUUCUGAUACAGGUGGCGGGGAUGGUGCAGACAAUGUGAAUGUCCUUAAUGCCACCAAACCACACACCUAAAAGUGGUCAAGUGGUAAAUUUUAUUCUAUGCAUAUUUUAUCAUGCAAAAAAUAUAUAUACGUGAUUAAAAUAAGAGACGCUUGGGUGGCUCAGUGGUUGAGCAUCUGUCUUCAGCUCAGGACAUGACCCCGGGGUCCUGGGAUCAAGUCUUAUAUGGGCUUCUUGCAUGGAGCCUACUUCUCCUGCCUGUGUCUCUGCCUCUGUCUCUGUAUCUCUCACGAAUAAAUAAAAUCUUUAAAAAUAAUAAUAAUAAUUAAAAUAAAAUAAUCUUUCCUCGGUGAAGCAGGGCCCAGUUGGCCAAGAUGUUUUCCCUCCCUGAGUGUCACGAUUUCAAAGUGUGAGCUGGAAGCAGACAGGCCGCUUCUGCUGUACCCCCAGGCUA